UACGUAGGGGGCAAGCGUUGUCCGGAAUUAUUGGGCGUAAAGAGCGUGUAGGCGGCCAGAUAAGUCCGCUGUGAAAUCUCGAGGCUCAACUUCGAGCUGUCGGUGGAAACUAUCUGGCUAGAGUCCGGAAGAGGAGAAUGGAAUUCCUGGUGUAGCGGUGAAAUGCGCAGAUAUCAGGAGGAACACCGGUGGCGAAGGCGGUUCUCUGGGCAUUAACUGACGCUGGAGGAGCGAAAGCAUGGGGAGCGAACAGG
rnacentral:rRNA from 1 species